GACGAGUGGCGGACGGGUGAGUAAUGCUUGGGAACUUGCCUUUGCGAGGGGGAUAACAGUUGGAAACGACUGCUAAUACCGCAUAAUGUCUUCGGACCAAACGGGGCUUCGGCUCCGGCGCAAAGAGAGGCCCAAGUGAGAUUAGCUAGUUGGUAAGGUAACGGCUUACCAAGGCGACGAUCUCUAGCUGUUCUGAGAGGAAGAUCAGCCACACUGGGACUGAGACACGGCCCAGACUCCUACGGGAGGCAGCAGUGGGGAAUAUUGCACAAUGGGGGAAACCCUGAUGCAGCCAUGCCGCGUGUGUGAAGAAGGCCUUCGGGUUGUAAAGCACUUUCAGUUGUGAGGAAAAGUUAGUAGUUAAUACCUGCUAGCCGUGACGUUAACAACAGAAGAAGCACCGGCUAACUCCGUGCCAGCAGCCGCGGUAAUACGGAGGGUGCGAGCGUUAAUCGGAAUUACUGGGCGUAAAGCGCACGCAGGCGGUUUGUUAAGCUAGAUGUGAAAGCCCCGGGCUCAACCUGGGAUGGUCAUUUAGAACUGGCAGACUAGAGUCUUGGAGAGGGGAGUGGAAUUCCAGGUGUAGCGGUGAAAUGCGUAGAUAUCUGGAGGAACAUCAGUGGCGAAGGCGACUCCCUGGCCAAAGACUGACGCUCAUGUGCGAAAGUGUGGGUAGCGAACAGGAUUAGAUACCCUGGUAGUCCACACCGUAAACGCUGUCUACUAGCUGUGUGUGCCUUUAAGGCGUGCGUAGCGAAGCUAACGCGCUAAGUAGACCGCCUGGGGGAGUACGGCCGCAAGGUUAAAACUCAAAUGAAUUGACGGGGG
rnacentral:rRNA from 1 species